rnacentral:lncRNA from 1 species
AUUAAAAUUAUUGUAUUCUGACAUUUUCUAACCCCAAACAACACUAUACAAGCCAUUUAGUGGUUCAACGCAAUGUUUCCGAGUUCUUAGCCCAUUUGGGACCCAAUUUCAACAAGUCUUUCUCCACACUUCUAAACACUUUUCAUGCAUCUCUAAAACUUGUAAUCAAUCCAAUUUCUUGUAUUCUAACAUAUUCUAACUCCAAAC